UCGGGAAUAUUGGACAAUGCCCUAACGGGUGAUCCAGCGACACCGCGUGGAGGAUGAAGGUCUUCGGAUCGUAAACUCCUGUCAGGUGGGACGAAGUUCCGGCGCAAGUCGGAAUUGACGGUACCACCGGAGGAAGUCCCGGCUAAUCCCGUGCCAGCAGCCGCGGUAAGACGGGAGGGGCAAGCGUUGUCCGGAUCGACUGGGUGUAAAGGGUGCGUAGGUGGCUUGACGGGUCCAACAUGAAAUCCCCCGGCCUAACCGGGGAAGUGUGUUGGAAACUAUCAAACUAGAGUCUGAAAAAGGAGAGCGGAACUCCUGGUGUAACGGUGAAAUGUGUGGAUAUCAGGAGGAACACCGGUGGCGAAGGCGGCUCUCUAGUUCAAGACUGACACUGAGGCACGAAAGCCGGGGGAGCAAACAGG
rnacentral:rRNA from 1 species